rnacentral:rRNA from 1 species
AUGCCACCCAAGGCUCCCAAGGCACCCAUCACGUGCAACUGGAUGAGAUCCAAUGUUACUGAUGACACUUUAGCUGAUUUCGUGAAGACGGGUUACCUGCCCAAAAAGGAGGUCAUGUCUUAUCGUGCCCCUGACCCGUCGGAGGAAAGGCCUCAACCAAGAGAAGGAGAAGUUGUGAUAUUUGCUAAUCACAUGAGCCGGGGCUUCGCACCUCCCGGCUCAAAAUUCUUUAGGGAUGUUCUGAACUUCUUCGAUCUGCGGCCGCAAGACAUAGGACCCAAUUCCGUGUCAAAUAUUUGUAACUUUCAAGUAUUCUGCGAAGUAUAUCUUGGAGAAGAGCCCAGCCUCCUGCUCUUUAGGGAGCUAUUUUAUCUGAACCGCCAGAACGAGUGCGCCAACGGGCCGAGCUUGGAACCCUGUGGAAUUCCAUUCAACGACGGAGAGAUUGCCUCUUUCCUUAUGCUGAGCCGCCAAGCCAUCCAAAGGACUGGAACCAGACAUGGUUCUACUGCCAGGAUACUUCUCCGGCUGACGAGAGCCCUCUGCCCGGCUUUCGUGCCCUGCGUCUGGAGCCAAACCACCCCCUGCUAG